rnacentral:rRNA from 1 species
AGUGAACGCUGGCGGUAGGCCUAACACAUGCAAGUCGAACGGCAGCACAGUAAGAGCUUGCUCUUACGGGUGGCGAGUGGCGGACGGGUGAGGAAUACAUCGGAAUCUACUUUUUCGUGGGGGAUAACGUAGGGAAACUUACGCUAAUACCGCAUACGACCUACGGGUGAAGGCAUGGGAUCUUCGGACCUUGCGCGAUUGAAUGAGCCGAUGUCGGAUUAGCUAGUUGGCGGGGUAAAGGCCCAGCAAGGCGAGGAUCCGUAGCUGGUCUGAGAGGAUGAUCAGCCACACUGGAACUGAGACACGGUCCAGACUCCUACGGGACGCAGCAGUGGGGAAUAUUAGACAAUGGGCACAAGCCUGAUCCAGCCAUACCGCGUGGGUGAAGAAGGCCUUCGGGUUGUAAAGCCCUUUUGUUGGGAAAGAAAAGCAGCAGGUUAAUACCCCGCUGUUCUGACGGUACCCAAAGAAUAAGCACCGGCUAACUUCGUG